GAUGAAGAACGUAGCGAAAUGCGAUAAGUAGUGUGAAUUGCAGAAUUCAGUGAAUCAUCGAGUCUUUGAACGCACAUUGCGCCCUCUGGUAUUCCGGGGGGCAUGCCUGUCCGAGCGUCAUUGCUGCCCUCAAGCACGGCUUGUGUGUUGGGCCCCCCCCGUCCCGGUUCUCCAGCCGGGACGGGCCCGAAAGGCAGCGGCGGCACCGUGUCCGGUCCUCGAGUGUAUGGGGCUCUGUCACCCACUCGUGUAGGCCCGGCCGGCGGCCAGCCUCUUUCAACCAAAACUUCUUUAACCAGGUUGACCUCGGAUCAGGUAGGGAUACCCGCUGAACUUAAGCAUAUCAAUAAGCGGAGGA
rnacentral:misc_RNA from 1 species